rnacentral:ncRNA from 1 species
UGAAAGUUUGAUUCUGGCUUAGCACUUAAAUAUAAGAUUAUUUUACAUGUAAAUUUUUGUGUUAUUAUUAAUUCUAAAUGAGGCUCAUUAAUUUCACAGUAUAUAGAUUUAUAAAUUAUUAAAGUUAGAUAUAGUGAUUUUAUUUAGAGUGGACAAAAUUCGUGCCAGCAGUCGCGGUUACACGAUUCACUCAGUUUAAGUCUCAAAAUUUCAGUUAUAAUUACAACAAUUAGAAAAUAAGUGAAUUUUGGUGAAAUAUAUUUAUUUAAGAAAUUGUUUCUUAUGUCUGGGAAACCUCAGUUUAAACUAGGAUUAGAUACCCUAUUAUUCAAAGGUGUAAAGCAAAUAAUUAGAUAAUUAAUAGUUAGGUUCUUUAAAUUCAAAGAAUUUGGCGGUAGUUUAUCUUCUCAGAGGAACCUGUUCUGUAAUCGAUAAUCCACGAUAUAUUAUACUUUAAAUAUACUUGUAUAUCUCUGUCAAGAAUGUUCUAUGAAGAGAUUUUCAUUGAUUUUAUAAAUAUAAUGUCAGGUCAAGGUGCAGUUUAUUUUAAAGUAGAAAUGGGUUACAUUUAUUAAUUAAUAGAUUGAUAUUUUAAUAAAAAUAACAUGAAAUAGGAUUUGAUAGUAAGUAGAUUAAGUUAAAUUAUCUGAAUAAAGCUCUAGAUUAUGCACACAUCGCCCGUCACUCUCAUCCUAAGGUGAGAUAAGUCGUAACAAAGUAGUUGUACCGGAAGGUGUGGCUAGAAUGA